rnacentral:rRNA from 1 species
CACCUACGGGGGGCAGCAGUGAGGAAUAUUGGUCAAUGGGCUUACGCCUGAACCAGCCAAGUCGCGUGAGGGAAGACUGCCCUAUGGGUUGUAAACCUCUUUUGUCAGGGAGCAACGCCGGCUACGUGUAGCCGGACUGAGAGUACCUGAAGAAAAAGCAUCGGCUAACUCCGUGCCAGCAGCCGCGGUAAUACGUAGGGGGCAAGCGUUAUCCGGAUUUACUGGGUGUAAAGGGAGCGUAGACGGAAUGCCAAGUCAGCGGUAAAAUCGCGGGGCUCAACCUCGCUCCGCCGUUGAAACUGGCG